rnacentral:rRNA from 1 species
AUUGAACGCUGGCGGCAGGCCUACACAUUCAAGUCGAGCGGAGCGGCGGACGGGUGAGUAAUUCCUAGGAAUCUGCCUGGUAGUGGGGGAUUACGUCCGGACACGGGCGCUAAUACCGCAUACUAUCAUAUGAGCCUAGGUUGGAUUAGCUAGUUGGUGGGGUACAGGCCUACCAAGGCGACGAUCCGUAACUGGUCUUAGAGGAUGAUCAGUCACACUGGAACUGAGACACGGUCCAGACUCCUACGGGAGGCAGCAGUGGGGAAUAUUGGAAAAUGGGCGAAAGCCUGAUCCAGCCAUGCCGCGUGUGUGAAGAAGGUCUUAGGAUUGUAAAGCACUUUAAGUUGGGAGGCGUUACCAACAGAAUAAGAACCGGAGAACUGCGUGCCAGCCGCCGAGGUAAUUC